GUAUCCUGGCUCAGGAUGAACGCUAGCUACAGGCUUAACACAUGCAAGUCGAGGGGCGAGCAUGGUCUUAGCUUGCUAAGGCCGAUGGCGACCGGCGCACGGGUGAGUAACGCGUAUCCAACCUGCCUUACACUCUUGGACAGCCUUCUGAAAGGGAGAUUAAUACAAGAUGUUAUCAUGAGUAAGCAUUUUCGCAUGAUUAAAGGUUUACCGGUGUAAGAUGGGGAUGCGUUCCAUUAG
rnacentral:rRNA from 1 species